CGAGGGGUAUGGUUGUUCGGAACCAGAGACCGGCGCACGGGUGCGUAACGCGUAUGCAAUCUACCUUUUACAGAGGGAUAGCCCAGAGAAAUUUGGAUUAAUACCUCAUAGCAUAGCACUUCCAUGAAGCCACUAUUAAAGUCACAACGGUAAAAGAUGAGCAUGCGUCCCAUUAGCUAGUUGGUAAGGUAACGGCUUACCAAGGCUACGAUGGGUAGGGGUCCUGAGAGGGAGAUCCCCCACACUGGUACGUGAGACACGGACCAGACUCCUACGGGAGGCAGCAGUGAGGAAUAUUGAGCGAAUGGCGCAGACCUGAGUCACCCAGUCCC
rnacentral:rRNA from 1 species